rnacentral:rRNA from 1 species
UACGGAGGAUCCAAGCGUUAUCCGGAUUUAUUGGGUUUAAAGGGUGCGUAGGCGGUUUUAUAAGUUAGAGGUGAAAUCUCGGGGCUCAACUCCGAAAUUGCCUCUAAUACUGUAGGACUAGAGAGUAGUUGCGGUAGGCGGAAUGUAUGGUGUAGCGGUGAAAUGCUUAGAGAUCAUACAGAACACCGAUUGCGAAGGCAGCCUGCUGGACUGUAACUGACGCUGAUGCUCGAAAGUGUGGGUAUCAAACAGG